GCUGGCGGCGUGCCUAAUACAUGCAAGUCGAGCGAACAGACGAGGAGCUUGCUCCUCUGACGUUAGCGGCGGACGGGUGAGUAACACGUGGAUAACCUACCUAUAAGACUGGGAUAACUUCGGGAAACCGGAGCUAAUACCGGAUAACAUGUUGAACCGCAUGGUUCAACAGUGAAAGACGGUCUUGCUGUCACUUAUAGAUGGAUCCGCGCCGCAUUAGCUAGUUGGUAAGGUAACGGCUUACCAAGGCAACGAUGCGUAGCCGACCUGAGAGGGUGAUCGGCCACACUGGAACUGAGACACGGUCCAGACUCCUACGGGAGGCAGCAGUAGGGAAUCUUCCGCAAUGGGCGAAAGCCUGACGGAGCAACGCCGCGUGAGUGAAGAAGGUCUUCGGAUCGUAAAACUCUGUUAUUAGGGAAGAACAAAUGUGUAAGUAACUAUGCACGUCUUGACGGUACCUAAUCAGAAAGCCACGGCUAACUACGUGCCAGCAGCCGCGGUAAUACGUAGGUGGCAAGCGUUAUCCGGAAUUAUUGGGCGUAA
rnacentral:rRNA from 1 species